rnacentral:lncRNA from 1 species
CAGGGGCAAAUUCCUGCCUGCUGGUCCGGGUGUGGCAGGGGCAUCAGCUGGAUUGUAGCUUGUUUAGGAGAUUCCCGAGGGCCCCUGGAGGUUCCCGCUGGGGCUCAGCCUCCCAGGGGCCCCCCCAGUGUGGCUUCCCACCUUGCCACCUGAAGUCCUGUUUCUCCAUCUGCCUGGUGUCUUCCCAAAUUUUGAACCUAAGCGGAUUAAUCUGUUGAUGCUUUCCGUAUACAUUGGCAGGCAUGGCACCCCAGGCGCAACAACUCCAGAUGGAAGACAUACUAUUACCCCUCAAAAAAAUUCUACAAAAAAAACAGAUGAGGAACAAAAGGAAACAACUUCAAAGGAAGGAGGCAGCCAUGACACGCCAGCCAUUCCAGGCCAGGCACAGCUCAUCAGCCACAGCGGGCCAGGCACACUACCGCAGGCGCGGUACAGCAGCCAAACCACGCCAGGCUCAGCACGGUAGUCACAGCUUGUCAACUACAUCACGCCAGUCACAGCACACCCGGCACAUCACGCCCAGCACAACACACCAGGCACAACACACCGGACACACCAAGCCAGGCAAACCGUACCAGGCACAGCAUACCAGGCAAUCCAAGCCAGGCGAAGCACGCCAGAGACACCACACCAGGCAAACCACACCAGCCACACCACGCCAGUCACACCAUGCCAGGCACAGCACCUCAGGCACAGCAAACCAGAGACACCAUAGCAGGCCCAGCACUUCAAGCACAGCACACCAGGCACAUCAAGCCAGGCACAGCAUGCCAAGCUUGCCACACAAGGCACAGGACACCAAACACAACACACCAGGCACAACACACAAGCCACAGCAUGCCAGGCACAGAAUGCCAGGCUUGCCACACAAGGCACAGGACACCAAACACAACACACCAGGCACAACACACAAGCCACAGCACACCCGGCACCACUCAACAGGCACAGCGCAGCUGGCACGGCGCACCAGACACAACCAGCCAAGUCCACGCUGCGUCUACACUUGCUUUAAGGUAGUAGCAAUCUGCUCUGCUUGGGAAAAGCCUUUCUGAAGGUUAUAAUCCUAUCUUCUCUGCCUGCAAGCUCGAGCCUUUGUUAAUUGAGGAUCUACUGUAUGCAAAGGUCCGAGGUGCAAGAAUCCUUGCCAGUUCUGCUCCAGAUGGAGCAAAUACCAAUACUUAAAAAAAAAAAAAAAAAAAAAAAAACAAAACUUCAAAGCAUAGAAGCGGACCCAAUCCUGGAUCUUCUAAGAUGGCAUAUCUGAAAGAGACGGUUGAGUGAAAGACCUGGAGGCUGAGGACUGGGGAUUGAACCUGGGUCUCAAGACAUGCCGGGCAAAUACUGUAACGGCUGAGCCCCUCCCUGGGAAUUGGGAACCAGCUAGCUAGACUACUGAAUGGUGACCUCAGGUAUGUCCGACCUCCAGGUACAUAGACCCUGCAGAAGAUCCCUCAGCGGGCAGCAGGGGCCCCAACCCUGGCUUGCUUCUUCUCCAGCUUGGCAAAACCCAACCCUGUUGGCUUCGGUGACCUUUCCUGGACCGCUGGCGGAGUGAGGACAAGCAAGGCUACUGUGUGAAGCCUACUGAAGACCUUGAGGGAGCCACAGUAAACAUUGCAACUGUGUUUGAUGAAGAACUUGGCUUUGGGUCCUGCUAGCAGGAAGAGCUCAAACUGGCUUGGCAAGGGCAGGCAGGCCUGAGGCCAUAGCUUGGCUGCAGGGCCUGGGAAGGAACUCUGAGACUGUGCACUCAAAAGGAACCCGGAGCCUUCUCUCCCAAAGCAGCUACCCACCUUCUUUGUAUCUCUAAGCUCCUGCUUGGCUGGAGGUCAUCCUGACGACAGCACACUGGCAUUCCUUAAGAAGAGGAGAAACAUUAAGCAAUCUUUUGGCACGGAGCACACUGGAACCUGCUUCUAAUACCAGAUGUUGAGGAACCUCGACUCAGGCUAUACAGGGGUCUGUGGGUUUGAUGCAGAAAAGAAUUUCAAGAUGAGCCAGCAUGAAGCAGAAUCAGAGACGAAAACAAACAAAUAGACGACAACAACAACAACAACUUCAGAGUCUCACCGCGUGGUCGUCCUGGUUAGCCUGGAACUCGAGAGAUAGACCAGGCUGCCUUGAACCACAGAGAUAAAUACCCCUGCCUGUGCCUCCAGAGCACUAAGAUUAAAGGUAUUCACCCGGACACCCAGCCCACAGAUGGAGAUUUUAUUAAAGAUAAUUUAAGGGGCUGGAGAGAUGGCUCAGUGGUUAAGAGCACUGACUGCUCUUCUGAUGUCCUGAGUUUGAUUCCCAGCAAUCGCAUGGUGGCUCACAACCAUCUGCAAUAGGAUCUUUUGGCAUGCAGGCA